rnacentral:lncRNA from 1 species
AGUAUUAUAUUGCUGCCAAGUUGCAAUCUGAGUUGUAUGAUUCUAGUGAGCAUUUGGUAUAACGCGGCCACGGGUGUCUCGUUAUACCUUCUAAGUUCUAACGUGAUUGUAACAAAGCAGCCAAAUGAAGUAAAUGUUUGAAACAGCCCAUUUUUAGAUCACAUUGGUGCUAAAAGUCAAAAUCAUCCUACUACUAGGCUCCAAUGAAACAAAUCUAAGCUUUUCAAGUGCAGUGUGACUGCCAAAGUUACCUCUGCCCAUGGAGACGCCAGCAAUGUAGAACAAAUACUUAAAGCUACACCAACACUCAUCUAUAUGUGGACUGCCAUCAGCAGGAUGUUUGCCUGAAACAAGAAGAAUUCCAAUCUCCAGUCUACAUGGUGAUUGGCGUGGAUUACAGUUCCACUAUCGGCAACAACAACAAAAUCUGUUGAAGAAAAGACACUGAGAAGAACGUCAAUGCUGGUGUGGAAUCGUCGAUACAGGCAACCCAGUUUUGCUUACGUGUUUAAGAUUCAACGGGAAAAAAUCGGGAUAUUCGUUCAACAUCUUCUACAGACAUCCCUUACAAUGUGAACAACAAUAUUAUUGAACUGUAAUCUUUGAGUUAUGACCAUCUUGGAAGCGAAUGCUGGUUCAUUGCAAAACACUUCUUUGGCAGUUUGUGAUUUGUGAUGGUGGUUUCUUGGGGGAAAACUAUGUAGAUAUAAAUCACAGACUUGGUCAUAUGCUAUUUGGAUUUUAAAUGGAAAAAAAUCACAAACAGCCCUUCAGCUUAUCUUGCUAAGUGCUUACGCAGUUAAGCUGAAAAUCCAUCCGUUCCGUCCAGCCCAGUCGUCCGUGGAUGCCGUCCGUGGCUGUCACUAGGUUGCUGGUGGCUAAAAUUAAGUCCGUCUCUUCUUUAGAGCAGACGAUAUUUCGCCAUUUCUUUUAGAAGACGAUGUUUGAUUGACAGUUCGAUGUGGUUUAUUACGGGAUACUCUUUUUCCUGAAAUUUGUCGUCAUACUAAUGGUAACAUAACUACCCUACAAUCUAUACUUGGCAAUUCCAUCUGAUCAUGGCCUGAAACUGGUGUUCAUUUACCCAAAAUGUCGUCUUUUCUGCAUGUACCGGCUCUACGUUUCGUCUCAUGCAGAAAUACUUCAGAACAGUAAUUUCUGAGCUUCUUCAUUCAGUCCAACGUGGACAUGGAUUUGUUGUUGCCAGCUGGCGAAAGGUGUUCCUCUUGCAAGCUUGCAGUUGUAGCUUUCUCGAUAGGUUGAUACAGAAAGAAUAUUUCUUACAGCAGUGGAGAGUAAAAUGUUCCAAUUUGUAUUUAAUCUUAAAUGAGUCGUCUAGUUUCAUUAAAAGUUUAUUUCAACAAUAGCUAUCAGAUUUAUAAUGUUUUCAGAAUAUUUGGCUUAACUAUUGAAAACAGCAUAGUGACAUGAAUUUUUCAUUUCAGAAUUCAAGACAGCAUUUCCAUUGAUGU